GACGAACGCUGGCGGCGUGCUUAACACAUGCAAGUCGAACGGAAAGGCCCUGCUUGCAGGGUACUCGAGUGGCGAACGGGUGAGUAACACGUGGGUGAUCUGCCCUGCACUUCGGGAUAAGCCUGGGAAACUGGGUCUAAUACCGGAUAGGAGCCAUUUUUAGUGUGAUGGUUGGAAAGUUUUGUCGGUGUAGGAUGAGCUCGCGGCCUAUCAGCUUGUUGGUGGGGUAAUGGCCUACCAAGGCGGCGACGGGUAGCCGGCCUGGGAGGGUGGACGGCCACAUUGGGACUGAGAGACGGCCCAGACUCCUACGGGAGGCAGCAGUGGGGAAUAUUGCACAAUGGGCGCAAGCCUGAUGCAGCGACGCCGCGGGGGGGAUGACGGCCUUCGGGUUGGAAACUCCUUUCGCUAGGGACGAAGCUUUUUGUGACGGUACCUAGAUAAGAAGCACCGGCUAACUACGUG
rnacentral:rRNA from 1 species